rnacentral:rRNA from 1 species
UACGAAGGGGCUAGCGUUGUUCGGAAUUACUGGGCGUAAAGCGCACGUAGGCGGAUAUUUAAGUCGGGGUGAAAUCCCGGGCUCAACCCGGAACUGCCUUCGAUACUGGGUAUCUUGAGUUCGGAAGAGGUGAGUGGAAUUGCGAGUGUAGAGGUGAAAUUCGUAGAUAUUCGCAGGAACACCAGUGGCGAAGGCGGCUCACUGGUCCGAUACUGACGCUGAGGUGCGAAAGCGUGGGGAGCAAACAGG